UACGAAGGGGGCUAGCGUUGCUCGGAAUCACUGGGCGUAAAGCGCACGUAGGCGGCUUCUUAAGUCAGGGGUGAAAUCCUGGAGCUCAACUCCAGAACUGCCUUUGAUACUGAGGAUCUUGAGUUCGGGAGAGGUGAGUGGAACUGCGAGUGUAGAGGUGAAAUUCGUAGAUAUUCGGAAGAACACCAGUGGCGAAGGCGGCUCACUGGCCCGGUACUGACGCUGAUGUGCGAAAGCGUGGGGAGCAAACAGG
rnacentral:rRNA from 1 species